UACGUAGGGGGGCAAGCGUUGUCCGGAAUCAUUGGGCGUAAAGCGCGUGUAGGCGGCUCGAUAAGUCUGCUGUGAAAGUUCAGGGCUCAACCCUGAAAUGCCGGUGGAAACUGUCGAGCUAGAGUACGGAAGAGGUGAGUGGAAUUCCUGGUGUAGCGGUGAAAUGCGCAGAUAUCAGGAGGAACACCAAUGGCGAAGGCAGCUCACUGGGACGUUACUGACGCUGAGACGCGAAAGCGUGGGGAGCAAACAGG
rnacentral:rRNA from 1 species